rnacentral:rRNA from 1 species
GACGAACGCUGGCGGCGCGCCUAACACAUGCAAGUCGAACGGAGUUCUUUUGAUGAAGUUUUCGGAUGGAUUCACUUGAACUUAGUGGCGGACGGGUGAGUAACACGUGAGCAACCUGCCUAUCAGAGGGGGAUAACGAUUGGAAACGAUCGCUAAUACCGCAUAACGCAGCGAGGAGGCAUCUUCAUGCUGCCAAAGAAAUAUCGCUGAUAGAUGGGCUCGCGUCCGAUUAGAUAGUUGGUGAGGUAACGGCCCACCAAGUCGACGAUCGGUAGCCGGACUGAGAGGUCGAACGGCCACAUUGGGACUGAGACACGGCCCAGACUCCUACGGGAGGCAGCAGUGGGGGAAUAUUGCACAAUGGGGGAAACCCGUACGGAUGCAGCGACGCCGCCGUGGAGGAAGAAGGUACUUCGGAUUGUAAACUACCUGUUGUUGAGGAAGAUAAUAGACGGUACGUCAACAA